UACGUAGGGUGCAAGCGUUGUCCGGAAUUAUUGGGCGUAAAGAGCUCGUAGGCGGUUUGUUGCGUCGGCUGUGAAAUCCCGAGGCUCAAUCUCGGGUCUGCAGUCGAUACGAGCAAACUAGAGUGUUGCAGGGGAGACUGGAAUUCCUGGUGUAGCGGUGAAAUGCGCAGAUAUCAGGAGGAACACCGGUGGCGAAGGCGGGUCUCUGGGCAACAACUGACGCUGAGGAGCGAAAGCGUGGGGAGCGAACAGG
rnacentral:rRNA from 1 species